UAAUAAGUGUUUUAUGGCACUUUUUAAAUCCAUAUCCACCUUGUGUGCAAUGUCAGUCGAUCUUCUUCAUGGAGAUCGACCAAACAUCAACCUUUAUCUUUUAACUCUUUGUCUGAAAAAUAUUAUGAAUAAACAAUUCAAAAC
rnacentral:misc_RNA from 1 species